GCCGAGGUAGCUCAACGGCAGAGCAACGGUUUUGUAAACCGUAGGUUGGAGAUUCGAUUUCUCUCCUCGGCU
rnacentral:tRNA from 1 species